AUUGAACGCUGGCGGCAGGCCUAACACAUGCAAGUCGAGCGGAUGAAGGGAGCUUGCUCCUGGAUUCAGCGGCGGACGGGUGAGUAAUGCCUAGGAAUCUGCCUGGUAGUGGGGGAUAACGUCCGGAAACGGGCGCUAAUACCGCAUACGUCCUGAGGGAGAAAGUGGAGGAUCUUCGGACCUCACGCUAUCAGAUGAGCCUAGGUCGGAUUAGCUAGUUGGUGGGGUAAAGGCCUACCAAGGCGACGAUCCGUAACUGGUCUGAGAGGAUGAUCAGUCACACUGGAACUGAGACACGGUCCAGACUCCUACGGGAGGCAGCAGUGGGGAAUAUUGGACAAUGGGCGAAAGCCUGCUCCAGCAAUGCCGCGUGUGUGAAGAAGGUCUUCGGAUUGUAAAGCACUUUAAGUUGGGAGGAAGGGCAGUAAGUUAAUACCUUGCUGUUUUGACGUUACCAACAGAAUAAGCACCGGCUAACUUCGUG
rnacentral:rRNA from 1 species